rnacentral:rRNA from 1 species
GGAGGUUACUGCUAUCGAGGUUCGACUAAGCCAUGCGAGUCGAAUGUAGCAAUACAUGGCGAACUGCUCAGUAACACGUGGACAACCUGCCCUUAGGACGGGGAUAAACCCGGGAAACUGGGUAUAAUACCCGAUAGGUCUCGAUUGCUGGAAUGCAUCGAGAUUUAAAGCUCCGGCGCCUAAGGAUGGGUCUGCGGCCUAUCAGGUAGUAGUGGGUGUAGCGUACCUACUAGCCUACGACGGGUACGGGUUGUGAGAGCAAGAGCCCGGAGAUGGAUUCUGAGACACGAAUCCAGGCCCUACGGGGUGCAGCAGGCGCGAAAACUUUACAAUGCUGGCAACAGCGAUAAGGGAACCUCGAGUGCCAGGUUACAAAUCUGGCUGUCGAGAUGCCUAAAAGGCAUUUCAUAGCAAGGGCCGGGCAAGACCGGUGCCAGCCGCCGCGGUAACACCGGCGGCUCGAGUGGUAACCGUUAUUAUUGGGUCUAAAGGGUCUGUAGCCGGCCGGAUAAGUCUCUUGAGAAAUCUGGCAGCUUAACUGUCAGGCUUUCAGGAGAUACUGUCUGGCUCGAGGCCGGGAGAGGUGAGAGGUACUUCAGGGGUAGGGGUGAAAUCUUGUAAUCCUUGAAGGACCACCAGUGGCGAAGGCGUCUCACCAGAACGGACCUGACGGCAAGGGACGAAAGCUAGGGGCACGAACCGGAUUAGAUACCCGGGUAGUCCUAGCCGUAAACGAUACUCGCUAGGUGUCGGCCACGGUGCGACCGUUGUCGGUGCCGUAGGGAAGCCGUGAAGCGAGCCACCUGGGAAGUACGGCCGCAAGGCUGAAACUUAAAGGAAUUGGCGGGGGAGCACCACAACGGGUGGAGCUUGCGGUUUAAUUGGAUUCAACGCCGGA